rnacentral:rRNA from 1 species
CGCUGGCGGCGUGCCUAAUACAUGCAAGUCGAGCGAACAGACGAGGAGCUUGCUCCUCUGACGUUAGCGGCGGACGGGUGAGUAACACGUGGAUAACCUACCUAUAAGACUGGGAUAACUUCGGGAAACCGGAGCUAAUACCGGAUAAUAUAUUGAACCGCAUGGUUCAAUAGUGAAAGACGGUUUUGCUGUCACUUAUAGAUGGAUCCGCGCCGCAUUAGCUAGUUGGUAAGGUAACGGCUUACCAAGGCAACGAUGCGUAGCCGACCUGAGAGGGUGAUCGGCCACACUGGAACUGAGACACGGUCCAGACUCCUACGGGAGGCAGCAGUAGGGAAUCUUCCGCAAUGGGCGAAAGCCUGACGGAGCAACGCCGCGUGAGUGAUGAAGGUCUUCGGAUCGUAAAACUCUGUUAUUAGGGAAGAACAAAUGUGUAAGUAACUAUGCACGUCUUGACGGUACCUAAUCAGAAAGCCACGGCUAACUACGUGCCAGCAGCCGCGGUAAUACGUAGGUGGCAAGCGUUAUCCGGAAUUAUUGGGCGUAAAGCGCGCGUAGGCGGUUUUUUAAGUCUGAUGUGAAAGCCCACGGCUCAACCGUGGAGGGUCAUUGGAAACUGGAAAACUUGAGUGCAGAAGAGGAAAGUGGAAUUCCAUGUGUAGCGGUGAAAUGCGCAGAGAUAUGGAGGAACACCAGUGGCGAAGGCGACUUUCUGGUCUGUAACUGACGCUGAUGUGCGAAAGCGUGGGGAUCAAACAGGAUUAGAUACCCUGGUAGUCCACGCCGUAAACGAUGAGUGCUAAGUGUUAGGGGGUUUCCGCCCCUUAGUGCUGCAGCUAACGCAUUAAGCACUCCGCCUGGGGAGUACGACCGCAAGG